AGGGUGUAAACGCUGCGGGCUUGGUGUUGGGGGUCCUUAGUGGGCGCCCAGUGCCGGAGAGAAGUUGUUAAGCCUGCUGCUUGGGGAGUAUGUCCGCAAGGAUGAAACUUAAAGGAAUUGGCGGGGGAGCACCGCAACGGGAGGAGCGUGCGGUUCAAUUGGAUUCAACGCCGGAAAUCUUACCGGGACCGACAGCAACAUGAAGGCCAAGCUGAAGACUUUGCCGGAUUAGUUGAGAGGUGGUGCAUGGCGUAGUCGUGU
rnacentral:rRNA from 1 species